rnacentral:rRNA from 1 species
AUUGAACGCUGGCGGCAGGCCUAACACAUGCAAGUCGAGCGGAUGAGUGGAGCUUGCUCCAUGAUUCAGCGGCGGACGGGUGAGUAAUGCCUAGGAAUCUGCCUGGUAGUGGGGGACAACGUUUCGAAAGGAACGCUAAUACCGCAUACGUCCUACGGGAGAAAGUGGGGGAUCUUCGGACCUCACGCUAUCAGAUGAGCCUAGGUCGGAUUAGCUAGGUGGUGAGGUAAAGGCUCACCAAGGAGACGAUCCGUAACUGGUCUGAGAGGCUGAUCAGUCACACUGGAAGUGAGACACGGUCCAGACUCCUACGGGAGGCAGCAGUGGGGAAUAUUGGACAAUGGGCGAAAGCCUGAUCCAGCCAGGCCGCGUGUGUGAAGAAGGUCUUCGGAUUGUAAAGCACUUUAAGUUGGGAGGAAGGGCAGUAAGUUAAUACCUUGCUGUUUUGACGUUACCAACAGAAUAAGCACCGGCUAACUUCGUGCCAGCCGCCGCCGUAACAC